GAUGAACGCUGGCGGCGUGCUUAACACAUGCAAGUCGAACGGACAGGCCGGGGCUUUGUCUGUUGGACGAGUGGCGAACGGGUGAGUAACACGUGAGCAAUCUGCCCCUGACUCUGGGAUAAGACCUGGAAACAGCGGCUAAUACUGGAUACGAGCUGCUGAAGCAUCUUGAGCAGUUGGAAAGAACGGCGGUAAGGGAUGGGCUCGCGGCCUAUCAGCUUGUUGGUGAGGUAGUGGCUGACCAAGGCUUCGACGGGUAGCCGGCCUGGGAGGGUGACCGGCGACAAUGGGACUGCGAGACGGCGCAGACUCCAACGGGAGGCAGCAGUGGGGAAUUUUGCACAAUGGGCGAAAGCCUGAUGCAGCAACGCCGCGUGCGGGAAGACGGCCUUCGGGUUGUAAACCUCUUUUUGCGGAGAAGAAGCGAAAGUGACGGUACCUGCUGAAAAAGCGCCGGCUAACUACGUG
rnacentral:rRNA from 1 species